rnacentral:rRNA from 1 species
AUUGAACGCUGGCGGCAGGCUUAACACAUGCAAGUCGAGCGGAGAUGAGGUGCUUGCACCUUAUCUUAGCGGCGGACGGGUGAGUAAUGCUUAGGAAUCUGCCUAUUAGUGGGGGACAACAUUCCGAAAGGAAUGCUAAUACCGCGUACGCCCUACGGGGGAAAGCAGGGGAUCUUUGGACCUUGCGCUAAUAGAUGAGCCUAAGUCGGAUUAGCUAGUUGGUGGGGUAAAGGCCUACCAAGGCGACGAUCUGUAGCGGGUCUGAGAGGAUGAUCCGCCACACUGGGACUGAGACACGGCCCAGACUCCUACGGGAGGCAGCAGUGGGGAAUAUUGGACAAUGGGCGGAAGCCUGAUCCAGCCAUGCCGCGUGUGUGAAGAAGGCCUUUUGGUUGUAAAGCACUUUAAGCGAGGAGGAGGCUACCUGGAUUAAUACUCUAGGAUAGUGGACGUUACUCGCAGAAUAAGCACCGGCUAACUCUGUGCCAGCCGCCGCCGUAAGAC